rnacentral:rRNA from 1 species
CGACUUGGAGGUUGUUCCCUUGAGGAGUGGCUUCCGGAGCUAACGCGAUAAGUCGACCGCCUGGGGAGUACGGCCGCAAGGUUAAAUCUCAAAUGAAUUGACGGGGGCCCGCACAAGCGGUGGAGCAUGUGGUUUAAUUAGAUGCAACGAGAAGAACCUUACGUACUCUUGACAUCCAGAGAACUUAGCAGAGAUGCUUUGGUGCUUUCGGGAUCUAUGAGACAGGUGCCGCAUGGCUGUUGUCAGCUCGUGUUGUGAAAUGUUGGGUUAAGUCCCGCAACGAGCGCAACCCUUAUCCUUUGUUCCCAGCGAUUCGGUCGGGAAUUCAAAGGAGACUGCCGGUGAUAAACCGGAGGAAGGUGGGGAGGACGUCAAGUCAUCAUGGCCCUUACGAGUAGGGCUCCCCACGUGUUCCAAUGGAGCAUCCAAAGAGAAGCGACCUCGCGAGAGUAAGCGGUCCUCGCAAAGUGCGUCCUCGUCCGGAUCGGAUUCUGCAAUUGGACUCCGGGAAUUCGGAAUCGUUAGCAAUCGUGGAUCAGAAUGCCACGGUGAAUACGUUCCCGGGCCUUGUACACACCGCCCGUCACACCAUGGGAGUGGGUUGCAAAAGAAGUAGGUAGCUUAACCUUCGGGAGGGCGCUUACCACUUUGUGAUUCAUGACUGGGGUGAAGUCGUAACAAGGUAAC